GCGACGAUCGGUAGCCGGCCUGAGAGGGCGGACGGCCACACUGGGACUGAGACACGGCCCAGACUCCUACGGGAGGCAGCAGUGGGGAAUUGUUCGCAAUGGGCGCAAGCCUGACGACGCAACGCCGCGUGGAGGACGAAGGUCUUCGGAUCGUAAACUCCUGUCGCGCGGGACGAAUGCCCGGGUGGUUAACAGCCGUCCGGGGUGACGGUACCGCGAGAGGAAGCCCCGGCUAACUCCGUGCCAGCAGCCGCGGUAAUACGGGGGGGGCUAGCGUUGUUCGGAAUUACUGGGCGUAAAGGGCUCGUAGGCGGCCUGUCAAGUCGGACGUGAAAUCCCCCGGCUCAACCUGGGAACUGCGUCCGAUACUGGCUGGCUUGAAUCCGGGAGAGGGAUGCGGAAUUCCAGGUGUAGCGGUGAAAUGCGUAGAUAUCUGGAGGAACACCGGUGGCGAAGGCGGCAUCCUGGACCGGGAUUGACGCUGAGGAGCGAAAGCCAGGGGAGCAAACGGGAUUAGAUACCCCGGUAGUCCUGGCCCUAAACGAUGAAUGCUUGGUGUGGCGGGUAUCGAUCCCUGCCGUGCCGGAGCUAACGC
rnacentral:rRNA from 1 species